rnacentral:rRNA from 1 species
UUGAACGCUGGCGGAAUGCUUUACACAUGCAAGUCGAACGGCAGCACGGGGGCAGCCCUGGUGGCGAGUGGCGAACGGGUGAGUAAUACAUCGGAACGUGCCCGGUCGUGGGGGAUAACGUAGCGAAAGUUACGCUAAUACCGCAUACGAUCUGAGGAUGAAAGCGGGGGACCUUCGGGCCUCGCGCGAUCGGAGCGGCCGAUGUCAGAUUAGGUAGUUGGUGGGGUAAAGGCCUACCAAGCCGACGAUCUGUAGCUGGUCUGAGGGGACGACCAGCCACACUGGGACUGAGACACGGCCCAGACUCCUACGGGAGGCAGCAGUGGGGAAUUUUGGACAAUGGGCGCAAGCCUGAUCCAGCCAUUCCGCGUGCAGGACGAAGGCCUUCGGGUUGUAAACUGCUUUUGUACGGAACGAAAAGGCUCUGGCUAAUACCUGGGGCUCAUGACGGUACCGUAAGAAUAAGCACCGGCUAACUACGUG